rnacentral:rRNA from 1 species
GUUAACGAGGGGCCAGGGUAUGGGGUAGUACUGGGGGGGAAAGGGUUAUCCGGAUGUACUGGGUGUAAAGUGAGCGUAGACGGAUGGACAAGUCUGAUGGGAAAGGGUUGGGCUCAACGCCGGGAGUGCAUUGGAAACUGCCCGUCUUGAGUGCCGGAGAGGUAAGCGGAAUUCCUAGUGUAGCGGUGAAAUGCGUAGAUAUUAGGAGGAACACCAGUGGCGAAGGCGGCUUACUGGACGGUAACUGACGUUGAGGCUCGAAAGCGUGGGGAGCAAACAGGAUUAGAUACCCCUGUAGUC